rnacentral:rRNA from 1 species
UGGGGAAUAUUGCACAAUGGGGGGAAACCCUGAUGCAGCGACGCCGCGUGAGUGAAGAAGUAUUUCGGUAUGUAAAGCUCUAUCAGCAGGGAAGAAAAUGACGGUACCUGAGUAAGAAGCCCCGGCUAACUACGUGCCAGCAGCCGCGGUAAUACGUAGGGGGCAAGCGUUAUCCGGAUUUACUGGGUGUAAAGGGAGCGUAGACGGCGAGACAAGUCUGAAGUGAAAACCCGGGGCUCAACCCUGGGACUGCUUUGGAAACUGCCUGGCUGGAGUGCAGGGAGAGGUAAGUGGAAUUCCUAGUGUAGCGGUGAAAUGCGUAGAUAUUAGGAGGAACACCAGUGG